AUCUCAGUGGCGCAAUUGGCAGCGCAGCGGUUUCCAAAACCGAAGGCUGAAGGUUCGACUCCUUCCUGGGAUGCCA
rnacentral:tRNA from 2 species